UACAAAAGCUGCUAUCUGUUGCCUCCGUC
rnacentral:piRNA from 1 species